rnacentral:lncRNA from 1 species
AUUCUUCAGCAUCAAGACUCCAGUUGUGGUGGUACAACUAAGAAGCAUUCACUGGAAGGGGAUGAAGGCAGUGACUUUGUAACGAACACCAGAAAUUUGGUGAGCUCAGUAUUCUGUACCCAGGAGACAAGAGAAGAAAUUCCUGGACGAGAAGCUCGAACAGGUCCUCCUGAUGGCCAGCAAGAUUCAGAGUGCAGCAGGAACAAAGAGAAGACCUUAGGAAAAGAAGUUUUAUUACUGAUGCAAGCGCUAAACACCCUUUCAACCCCAGAGGAAAAGCUGGCGGCUCUGUGUAAGAAAUAUGCUGAUCUCCUGGAAGAAAGCAGGAAUGUUCAGAAACAAAUGAAGAUUCUUCAGAAGAAGCAAGCCCAGAUCGUGAAAGAGAAAGUUCACCUUCAAAGUGAACACAGCAAGGCCAUCUUGGCAAGAAGCAAACUGGAGUCUCUUUGCAGGGAACUUCAACGUCAUAAUAAGACCUUAAAGGAGGAAAAUAUGCAGCAGGCACGAGAGGAGGAAGAACGGCGGAAGGAAGCAACAGCACAUUUCCAGAUAACUCUCAAUGAAAUCCAAGCUCAGUUGGAACAACAUGACAUACACAAUGCCAAACUGCGACAGGAGAACAUUGAACUGGGAGAGAAGCUGAAGAAACUUAUUGAGCAGUAUGCGCUAAGGGAAGAGCAUAUUGAUAAAGUAUUCAAACACAAGGAAUUGCAACAACAGCUUGUGGAUGCCAAACUUCAGCAAACAACCCAGCUGAUAAAAGAAGCUGAUGAAAAACAUCAGAGAGAGAGAGAGUUUGUAAGUUCUGUUCCUUAAAAAAAAAAAAAAAAGGAAAAGGU